GAUGAACGCUGGCGGCGUGCCUAAUACAUGCAAGUCGAGCGAAUGGAUUAAGAGCUUGCUCUUAUGAAGUUAGCGGCGGACGGGUGAGUAACACGUGGGUAACCUGCCCAUAAGACUGGGAUAACUCCGGGAAACCGGGGCUAAUACCGGAUAACAUUUUGAACCGCAUGGUUCGAAAUUGAAAGGCGGCUUCGGCUGUCACUUAUGGAUGGACCCGCGUCGCAUUAGCUAGUUGGUGAGGUAACGGCUCACCAAGGCAACGAUGCGGAGCCGACCUGUGAGGGUGAUCGGCCACACUGGGACUGAGACACGGCCGAGACUCCUACGGGAGGCAGCAGUAGGGAAUCUUCCGCAAUGGACGAAAGUCUGACGGAGCAACGCCGCGUGAGUGAUGAAGGCUUUCGGGUCGUAAAACUCUGUUGUUAGGGAAGAACAAGUGCUAGUUGAAUAAGCUGGCACCUUGACGGUACCUAACCAGAAAGCCACGGCUAACUACGUGCCAGCCGCCGCCGUAA
rnacentral:rRNA from 1 species